rnacentral:misc_RNA from 1 species
AAGUCGUAACAAGGUUUCCGUAGGUGAACCUGCGGAAGGAUCAUUAACACGUAUCCAAACGUUAAACCCCCCUGUGAACCUUCAGUGUACUCGUACGUCCUUCAGGGACGUCUGCAAGGAGCGUGCAUGUUGUGCGAAGCAAGUGGCCUGGCAUCCCCAAGCAGUUAGUGUCUGAAAGUGUCAUUAACUGUGUAAGGAUGACGCAGUCACGAUCGUUGGAGGCCCACACGGCCGACGACCGGGCCUCUGGGCGCAAGCCCCCCUAUAACAAACGCUGCUAAUCGCGGCCGCGAUAAUACGCAGUCGACCAAAAACCGAACAACUGUUAACAAUGGAUAUCUUGGUUCUC